rnacentral:misc_RNA from 1 species
GAUGAAGAACGUAGCGAAAUGCGAUAAGUAAUGUGAAUUGCAGAAUUCAGUGAAUCAUCGAAUCUUUGAACGCACAUUGCGCCCGCCAGCACUCUGGCGGGCAUGCCUGUUCGAGCGUCAUUUCAACCAUCAAGCCCCCAGGGGCUUGUGCUGGGGCCCUGCGGCUGCCCGCAGGCCCCGAAAACCAGUGGCGGGCUCGCUAGUCACACCGAGCGCAGUAGCACAUCUCGCUCAGGGCGUGCGGCGGGCUCCUGCCGUGAAACCCCCCACUGUAACCCCAAAGGUUGACCUCGGAUCAGGUAGGAAUACCCGCUGAACUUAAGCAUAUCAAUAAGCGGAGGA